AUGACAUCAAGAUUGGAAUGUUUGGAAUCAUCAGCUCUUUUAGUUUCACUGAAGGCAGAUCCUGGAAGACUGCAGCAGAGUUCCACUGUUGCCGAGGAGACAGCUGUCAAUCAUCAGCAGCUGCUGGAACGCUCCAUUGAGACGCUUCAGGGGGAGCUCAGCUGUGCUGUGAAAGAUGGAGAGACCCUGAGAGAAGAGAGACAUCAGAUAAAGAGGAAGGUGGAGAUGACCACGGUGAACUCAGCACUGCAGAAACAGAAGGAGGACAACAAGGAGCUGAUGGAGAGCCUGGCAGCCUUCAGCAUCAGCAGGCACAAGUGCAACAGAUGGCCACUGAAUGUACCCAACACUGAGCAACACUGCACUGCAGAACACUUACACACAGAUGCAGAGAGGGAAUCUGACACUAAAAGAGCAACGCUGUGCACUACAGCAACACCACAGAGACACGCACCUGGAAGAGAGUUUGAAACGGCUCCAGGAUGAGGCAGAAGUGAGACUCAGGGAAGUUUAUCUGGAGUCACAGCAGGACAUUGUCUUUUGGGUUUUCUCUCGGGAUCGCCGGUGACCCGCUGUGUGGAAACACUGAGCCAUGCGACAGUUGAAGGGCAAGCCGAAGAAGGAGUCGUGGAAGGACAAAAAGGAGCGCAAACAGGCCAUGCAUGAGGCGCGGGAGCAGGUGACAACCAUCGUUCUUCCGACACUCGUCUUCC
rnacentral:lncRNA from 1 species